UGUGUGUGUGUGUGUGUGUGUCCUACUGGUGGACAAAGACAAACAGUUGCAAAAACAUAUCCUCUUUUGCAACUCAGAACUCACUGCUCAGUAUGAGCCUUGAUACAGAUAAGGAAUGUGAAC
ensembl:snoRNA